UUCUGCGAGAAAGUAAACUUUGGGCACGACAAGUCAUGAAGUCGGCACGUUGGGGAGACACCGUGUCACAAUGACAAGGUUUCUAGUUCGUGCUUUGUUCAGAUUGCCCAGAAGCUGAUGAUCACAGAGAAGAGGUCAUAUUUGUCAUGAGAAAGCUUUCCUGCACCAGGAUUCAGUAAAGGCGUUUACCAGCAGGGCCCAUGGUGCCUCCAGAGGCAGGAUGGUGCUCAAAACCCAUCACUGAGGCCAGGAAGUGAGGACAAAAGUUGAGGGCUGCCCAUAGGAAAGAGAAAAAAUGCUCCCUUUGGGUUUCCAAGUAGUUACUGCUUAUUGUUGCAUCAGUCUUGCUCCUGACCACGAUGUGUUCCUUGUUCAUUCUCCUUGGUAUCCCACUGAUUGUGCAUCUAUGAAAAAGAAGACAGGAUCGGGGGUGGUGCAAAGAACAACUGCAUCCUUCUAGAGCUGAUGCCCUGGUGAGCUCUGAAGCACACUUAGCAGAGCCUGAAAUCUACUCUCCCUGUGGGAUGGAGUCUCGUUCUGUCGCCCAGGCUGGAGUGCAGUGG
rnacentral:lncRNA from 1 species